CUACCGGGACGCUGCAGUGGGGAAUAUUGGACAAUGGGCGCAAGCCUGAUCCAGCAAUGCCGCGUGAGUGAAGACGGCCUUAGGGUUGUAAAACUCUUUCGCUAGGGAAGAUAAUGACUGUACCUAGUAAAGAAGUCCCGGCUAACUCCGUGCCAGCAGCCGCGGUAAUACGGAGGGGACUAGCGUUGUUCGGAAUUACUGGGCGUAAAGAGUUCGUAGGCGGACUGACAAGUUAGAGGUGAAAUCCCAGGGCUCAACCCUGGAACUGCCUUUAAAACUGUCAGUCUAGAGACCGGAAGAGGUUAGGGGAAUACCUAGUGUAGAGGUGAAAUUCGUAGAUAUUAGGUGGAACACCAGUGGCGAAGGCGCCUAACUGGUCCGGUACUGACGCUGAGGAACGAAAGCGUGGGGAGCAAACAGGAUUAGAUACCCUCGUAGUC
rnacentral:rRNA from 1 species